rnacentral:rRNA from 1 species
CGAUAGCGUAUAUUAAAGUUGUUGCAGUUAAAAAGCUCGUAGUUGGAUUUGUGGCGUACGACGGGCUCCGGGCACUUGUUGUCUGAGUAGCUUGUCGUUGCCAUCCUUGGGUGGAACCUGUGUGGCAUUAGGUUGUCGUGCAGGGGAUGCCCAUCUUUUACUGUGAAAAAAUUAGAGUGUUCAAAGCAGGCUUAUGCCGUUGAAUAUAUUAGCAUGGAAUAAUAAGAUAGGACUUUGUCGCUAUUUUGUUGGUUUGCGCGAUAAGGUAAUGAUUAAUAGGGACAGUUGGGGGUAUUCGUAUUCCAUUGUCAGGGGUGAAAUUCUUGGAUUUUUGGAAGACGAACUACUGCGAAAGCAUUUACCAAGGAUGUUUUCAUUAA